UGACAGAAGGCAGCAGAAUUACUGUCCUUACUGAGCAGUGUCUCAGCUUCACCAUCACUGGAAGCUGGCAGUGCUGCAGGAAGGGUCAUCCACCCACCUCCAGCUCCUCUUCCCUGGCUGCACUGCCUUUUUUCCUUCUGUGACCAGCAUCCACAGACCACACAGUGCCCCAGGAGGGGGGACCCCCUUCAGCACAGCAAAAAGCCAGGGAUGGCUUUCACCUGGAGCAGUUUUGCAUCAUGGCUGCAUGAAGAAUCCUGCUGGCAGUGCAAGAGACGGGAUGGGGAUCAAGCCCUCUGUAUGAAGCAGUAAUCAUCUAUAGCUGUCCGUAAACACAGCCAGGAGGGCCCAGUUCAGUGUGGUAACUGCUGGGGACACACACACAAACGCUCUUGUAGGAUUCUCAGUCUCUGAGAUUAAAGAAAAUUGAAGUUGAUUCUCAUUCUGGCUGGAAAUGAGCAUCCACGGCUGUGCCUGGGCAAUGAUCAAACUGCAUUAGUGACAUGCUAAUCAGCAGAUUCAACAAGACACCCAGCACUCCUGGCUGAGCACGAGACAGCAUGACUGUGAUUUGCAAAAGGGCUUUAGGUGCUCAGAACCACUUGAAAGAAGUGGAAAUUUUAUCUUUUCCCAGCCAACAUCUUUGAUAAUACCUGUGGCCUGUGAGAUGUCAGCUUUUCUGCAUAUUUGGAAGAAAGUCUGAUUAUCUGAUUGCUGAUGGCUGUGGCUAAGUGUUUUUAUCAGAACAGCUUUGAUGGGAGUUAAACAUCAUCCCUAAUGAAAACACUAACCCAAGACAAGAACAGUACCCUGCACAACUGCUGCUGGUCUGCAGGAGCCAGGAGCUUCUUCCAGAUCUCUCUUCAAAGCUCACUGUUUAAAUAAAGGAUCAGAGGGAGAAAUGGCUUCAGUGCCUGCUUGGAGCCCUGGACAGUGCUGGAUGCAGAGCACAGGGUUCAGGAGGGAAGCUGGAGCACAGAUAAGUGACUGUGGCAUAGUGGGAUGACCUUCUGCCAAGUAAGUUUUUUUAUAACUGUGAUUAUAUCACACAGUGUGUAGGAAGGUCUGUUUCCAGGAUAUUUUUGUUGCUUUAUUGGUCCUCCUCUGCUGCACUGUAGCUCUGCCUUCUGGGAUGCACUUAAAUAAAAGAAUUGAAAUGGCUCCAGAAAAGAAAUGGCAUAUAAGCCAUAGGAAGGAAAAAAGUCCUAAUCCUGGGAAGUCCUAAACUAUAGGGCCAAGUCUGUGAAUCUUGCUGAGCCAUAGUUGUCAGCCAGAAUUUCUGUAGGUUCAGGGUCCUUAUGAGGGCAAAUAAGCUUCAAAAUGUUUUGUAGAGCUCCUGGUUUCCUGUAGCACCCAAGGUCGAUGUGAGAUGGCACCUGGUCAUGCCCUACGGUCUGGAGGUGUUGCACUUCACUUCAGCUUUUUUUACCCUAAAUGAUGGUUUUCCUUAGAACAAAAUCCCCUCAGUCUGUCAGAAGUGACUGCAGGAGGAGGAGAGCACUGUGAAUUUUGGGGUUUUGUUUGCACCCUUUGGGGCCUGACUGCUUUCCCACUGCUCAUCGCCGUUCCUGUUAUCAAACAGAGCACAUCUCAGCUCAGGGCUCAGGACACCAGGCUGUGGGGAAAGCAGCCCCAAAACACUGCCUGAAUCUGCUCUGCUGGGGGAGAGAGCAGCAAUGCUGAGACCCAGCAGCGCUCACAGCUAACUUUGGAAUAGUCUGCACUAGUGGAGAGGGAGCAUUUUCCAUGCCCGUAUUUGCCAAAACUAUUUGCUUGACUUUGAAACCUUCCCACAUGCCUCGACACAGAUGGGUAAAAGGAUUGUUUUUCCUUUUUGAGUCACAGUGUUUGUGGACUGCUGCUCCUGCCAAAGAAUUCCUCUGAAACUUCUAGAAAGGCAGUGCUGCCCUCUGUGAGAGCUCUUUCCUGGCUGUGUGCUUGCAGGAGCACAUGUGGAGCUCCCAGGUGUUUGUGGCACCUCCAGGGUGCAGCGGGGCUGUCCUACCUUGCAGCAUGCUCCUGUAGGCCGUGUCGGCGAUGGCGUAGAUGUGCGGCGGCAUCUCGUGCCUCUUCUUGCCCUUGUACAUGUCAAUGAUCUUCUCAGAGUAGAUGGGCAGCUGCUUGUAGGGGUUGAUCACAACGCAGAAGAGACCCGAGUAAGUCUGCAAGGGAAUUCAGAGAAGAGCUGGACUUAACAUCCUGCGCCCUGUCCAGCCUGGGACACACACGCAUCCAAUUACUGCCAUUUUAGAGAGCAGCGCUCCUUUGUGUUCAGGGUAACAAAUGAAGCAUUCUGAAUCUAUGUCUGUGGGUGAUUUCCAAGUGCACAAAUCAUUGUUUCCAGUAAGUGAGCUGCUGGAAAGCCGGUGAAUUUAGCAACCUGUAGAAACACCGUGAUCUGAUGUUAGAGCUCCUUAACUUCAAUUAUUUUCAGUACAUAAUCCAUACCCUUAUCACACAUAAGGGUAUGGUGACAACUGUAAUAAUUAAUAUUUCUUUAUAUGUGUAUUUUCUUAUCAGAACAUGAUAUAAAUAUCUGCUCAGGUAGGCAUCAAAUUUUGUAAACUGGAAUCCUAGGUAAGAAGCUUGGAUUGAUGUUUGAAGGGUUUUUUUAAAAAAGUUUCUGUGAACAUCACGUAACACUGAUGACUGAUGGGAGUCCUUAAAUAAAACUGCUCAAGUUCCAAACAGAUGCCUUGAGAGACUAACCAUGCCUUCACUGAAUGACUAUUUCCACAGGAAACUUAAGGAAAAAUGUGGGGUUUUUUAGAAUCUAAUGGAAGUAUUAAUUUAAGUAUAUAUACAUAAACAAGAAUACUGACUGCCAGCUCA